GGUCACUGACUCCAGCCGCCGACCCUUUUCCAUCUGAUCGUUUCGUUCCAUUUGACGAGAGUUUCAAUUUCUCCAGGGACUCCUCACUCAGCGUCGCUUGACUUCCUCCGUUCCUCUACUCAGCCAGAAAAAGGUUCGAAAUUGUUGGGAAAUCUAGCAUUUGAAGGAGACUCAGUAGUCGUCUUCUUCAAUUGGAAGUACAGAGCCACGAGUCAAGUAAAAUCCUAAACCUGCGAUGCUUCAUCUUCACAAACAGCGGGAUUCAGUCGAAGCAAUUCCAUAGCAAGAUUCAGUCGAAGCACGUUGAAGUUGGCAUCAAAGGCAAUUCUCCAUGUCUCCAUCACGAGCUACUUGCCUGGUGAAGACGGAUUCUUCUUUCUGGGCAAUAGGAUCUGAGGGCAUAUGAAGCAAUCGUUGAAGCAUUAAACUUGACAAGGUUUGUUUUCAUAUUCCAUUUGGUAUAUAACCUCCUCCCCUAAAAUAUUUAUUGGCAGUAUUUUGAAUUUUGAUGUUCUGAGAAGCUUUAUAUUUUUUUCUGUCACUAUUUGCUUUAUGGCAUCUCUCUUGCCACUGAUGUCCCUUUUAUUUACAGUGUUGCUACUAAGCCCAAUUUGGAGGAGUGGACUGCAAGAACAAAAGUUUAUGAUUCAUUAAAAGAAUCCGUGGGUCUCAAUAAAUUAAAUCUAUAAGAAAUGAAUUGAUAUUUGAUUUUCUGAACUGCCAAAUAUUUAAGCUCACUAAAGGAUCUCAUGAGCGGUUGGUAGUCACGAAUUAAGACAAAAUUAUGCUCAUGUACGUAUAUUGGAAAGAAGAUGAUGAACUGCUGUUCAGCUACCAUCUCCUUAUUUUUGUACUCUUGCAACUUCAUGCAUAAUGUCAUAAGUGAAACAUUUGGGUGCAUGGUCUUAGAGAUUUCCAUUUAAGCAAAACCACUGAGGAAAUAUUUUUCAUGAUAUCUUCUCUGUCAUCCCCAUGAAACGUGGCCCAUCUCUGUAGGGCUGAGUUCUGUCUUGAUUUUGAAUAUAUUUACUUCAUUAUCUGCAUUUAUCUUUCUCCUGUCAUACAAAAUUAGUUUAAUUGCCGCAAGAAAAACAAAAUCUCCUGUCUUCAUUUUGACAACCAUUAAUGAAUAAGGUGCUUGGCAUUGGUGCAUGUUUGGAAUCCUGCUAUAUGAGAUACUUACUGGAAAGGUUUGGAUCCUGAUUUUGUAUAAUUGUAGUUGUUCAUUUAAAUCUUUGAAGUUGUUUGAGAAUUUACAUCUCAUCUUUUCUGGAAUUCUUAAAAUCAACAACGUGGCACAAGAUCCUAUUUGCUUUUUGGGGCCGUUACCUAUUUUCAAAAGCUUCUAAUUAAUUUUUUGUUGUAUUGCAUUAUUUUUAUUAGGAAUGUUAAUAUAACAAAUGAAUUGGACAAUAGGUUUAUAAUGUUGUGUUUGUCAUGGAUCCCUCAAGCUCUGUUUCUUACAUCUGAACUCAACUUUGACUGCUUUUGAAUUGUGUUUGGAGUUAGUAAGGUGGUAAUAUUGCCAUGCCCUUAGGGAUAUGAUAUUCAUCCAUAUGAAGCUACAUUAUGAUGUUGAUAGGAUUGACUUGAGAUUUUAAAAUUCUCAAUUUUUAUAUUAAAGGAAACAGUCGAGGAAUGCGAAGAAGACGGGAAGGGAUGGGAAUUGGUUUUAUUGUGCGAAAAAAGCUCUCAGUCCUAAAGUCAAAGAAGAGGGAAGACGAGGUCUUUCCCCCCAUGGAAAUGAUUUGAGAACACUUGUUGAUCAAUCCCGGACAUUACGGGCAGAGGAGGUAGAAGAUGGAUCUCAACAAUUGGACCUAAUUUGCAUCUCAAUAAUAUAAUUUUAAUGCAGUAAUUCUUUUACAUAUAUAUGUAUAGCUGCUGUAUAGUUUCCUUUGGGUUUUGCAGAGGUGCUUGAGGGAGAUAUAUUUCUUCAAAACCUGCCAAGUAUUUUUACCGCCCUUGCUUUAGGUUUCUUGUGCAGGUUCAAAAUUGGUUCUGAAAAAACCAUAGCUUAAAUACAACUACCUGAUUGCAGCUUAAGCAAGGUACUGUUAUAUUAUUGAGAUGCAAAUUUUGAUCGAGAUAUAUCAUUGUCUCUGAUAAAUUAUAAUUGUGCCUUUAAUUACAAUUAGAACUUCAGUAUCCUUGAUGAUCACGUGGCUUUUACAACUGCUGUUGGUCUAAGGUAGACCCCUGCCAUUGAUUUUUUUUGCAACAAUUGGAACAAAGCCUAAUUCCAAUGUUUCAGUAAUUCUGGAAGUACUUGAUGUGCUAUAAUGAUUGGUUGUUCAAAUAGAACAAUUAAUGCAUCUUUUUAAUUGAAUAAAUGAGAUGAAGCCCUUCAUAUAUUGCUGCAAUAGUUUGAAGAAUUAUUAUUUACAUUGAAUAGUAAACAUGAAUAACUUGUACAAUUUAUUUGGGUCAUGAAUCAACACAAUAUUAAAGGAUGGAAUCUUAUGUUAUUACUUGGGGAUAUAAUUAGUUUCUUCACUUUUUCAGUGCUAACAAAGGAGACUCCUUGAGGGUGUCUUAUGAUUUUUGGGUCUUAGGAUACUAUUUUGUUUUGUUCUAGAGUGCUAAUAAAAUGGACUUGAGCAUCUGAGGAAGUUUGUUGUAUCUCUUACCUAGCAUUUUUAUUGUCAUUUAUACUGAAUGAUAA